GCCAGGUGUGGUGGCUCACACCUGUAAUCCCAGUGCUUUGGGAGGCUGAGGCGGGUGGAUCACCUGAGGUUAGGAGUUCAAGACCAGCCUGGCCAACAUGGUGAAACCCCGUCUCUA
rnacentral:SRP_RNA from 1 species